GACAGAGGGGGCAAGCGUUGCUCGGAAUUACUGGGCGUAAAGGGCGCGUAGGCGGGAUGGCAAGUCGGUCGUGAAAUCCUUCGGCUCAACCGAAGAACGUCGAUCGAUACUGCUGUUCUUGAGGGUUGCAGAGGAGACUGGAAUUCCCGGUGUAGCGGUGAAAUGUGUAGAUAUCGGGAGGAACACCAGUGGCGAAGGCGGCUACCUGGCCCAUUCUUGACGCUGAGGCGCGAAAGCUAGGGGAGCAAACGGG
rnacentral:rRNA from 1 species